GUACACGUGACCUGUAACUUUAACGUGUUCGUUUAUUGGUACCGAGAGCUGAAACGGAGGGGGAGGGAGGUUGUCUCAGAGGGUUUGAAAGGAGAGAUGAUGACACUUGGUGUAGCACUGAGGAGUGGUCUCCCUUCGGGUGCCCAAGCCAGAAUAAGAACACUUGGAAGAGGCAUCAUCAACCCACUGAACGCUACACUGGUCUUGGGAAGAGCAUAAGGACUGGCUGGCAUGGGAGCUGGGGGAUCCUUCCCACGUCUCUUCACCCACUGAAGCAGAGCUGGGUGCCCUACUAGGGCAGCAGUCACUACAGGACAGCCCACGGACUUUGAACAAGGGGCUAAAGACUACAGCGUACCUCAUCUCCUUGCCCCGAUGGUGAUGAUCUUUCACAGGUGAAGCACACAAAAUUCAUAUGAAAGAAGAGCAAAUGGGAAAAACAGUCUCACUGUAAUGCAGCAAACUGACAGAUGAUGAAGGUCUCUGGGAUUGCUCUUGCAUAACUGAAGGUUUUUGAAGCAUUUCCAGGGGGCACUUCUGUGACCCUUUCCAGGACAUCUCUCUUGGUGUUCACCCACGGGGUCUGUUUUUCCUCAGUGCUCAGAUAAUGAAUCAAGUGCAACUGUCUCAGAUUUCAGACAUCUCCAUUUGCACUUGCUUAAGGCAGGGCGUAUCGAUGCUAAUUGGAUCUGAAAAUACUUUGGGAGUAUUCCAUUAGAAGAUCUGAUCAUGCUCUUUUGUACUGGAUUGCAAUGCCCUCUGACAAACAUAAGUUGAACCCAAGUUCCUCUUCCAAGAAGUCGAUGCGUUUGAACCCCGUUUCAAAACGAUGACGAGCCAUGGAGAGGUUAUGUGGUUUGUCCAAGAAUCUUUCAAUGCUCCCAGGUGCAAAGCCUAGGUAUCCUGACUGUCAGACUUCUUUAUUUCCUCAAGGCAUUAUAAAAGACUCUUUCAGACACUGCUUGUUCGUAACAAAAUGUCUCAUACUUACGGCUGCCCGCAGCCAAAACUUCCCCAGCACCAGCAGGAACGAACCCAGCCCGAGGACUCAUCAUAAUGGUUGGUUCACAAAAGCUUUCCAAAAGAAAAAAAAAAAAAGAAAAAAAAAAAAAGGAAUGGGCAAAGCCUCUGGAAAUGUAUUAAAUAUGAUGGCUGACAAGUGGCUGAACGAGGAGUUUGAGUGAAAGGAGUUCUGUUGGUGUUCUAAUUAAUAUCAUAUGAGGGGGAAUUGGAGUGAACAGCAGUGCCGAAUGGUGAGCAAAGACAGAGAUUGAAUCAUAGAACCACAGAAUGGCUUGAGUUUGGAAGGGACCUCUAAAGACCAUCUGGUUCCACUCUCAAUGAGCAGGGACACCCACAGCUCCAUCAGUGCUCAGAGCCCGUCCAGCCUGGCCUCAGGUGUCUCCAGAUCUGAGUGUCAAAGCGCUGUUAAGUGAAUCUGUCCAAAACUCAUCCAUGUGCAGGCACCCUUUUCCUUUUGGAGCUUAUCAAGGCACUUCGAUCAGAGGCUCCUGAAGGUCCAGUGUUGAGGAGGAACAUCCCGUCUGAAGAUUUCAGUUACAGAAUAAGUUUUUCAUCUACCAGAACCCCAAGUCCUUCUCUGCAGGGCUGUUCUGAGGGAGUUCUCCUGUCUGUACGCAUAUCUGGGAUUGUCCUGACCCAACACCUUGCACUUGGCCUUGUUGAACCUCAUUAGAUGCUUGUGUGCCCACUUUUCGAGUGUGUCCAGGUCCCUCUAGAUGGCAUCCCAUCCUUCUAUUCUGUCAGCUGUACCACCCAGCUUGGUGUCAUCAGCAAACUGCUGAGGGUGCACUCGAUUACAUCAUCGAUGUCAUUGAUAAAGAUGCUGAAGAACAUCGGUCUCAAGACGGAUCCCUGGGGAACAGCACUCAUCACUGGCCUCCACCUGGACAUAGAGCCACUGACCACAACCCCCUGGUUGUGGCCAUCCAAUCAAUUCCUUAUCCACUGAAUUAUCCAGCCCUUGAAUAUGUAUCACACCAAUUUAGAGAUAAGGAUGUGGAAAGGGGG
ensembl:lncRNA